rnacentral:misc_RNA from 1 species
GUGAAUCAUCGAAUCUUUGAACGCAAAUUGCACUCUCUGGUAUUACGGAGGGUAUGCCUGUUUGAGGGUCAGUUUAAAUCAAAAUCGGUGUGGUUGCUGCCUUUCGUGGUGAUGCAUCGGCUGUGGUUGCCUUGCCUUCGGGUAAGUGACCUAAAAUUUUGCAUGCUUUUUUUGAACGUAUUUAAAUGAUUUUACGAACGUUUGCGAUAUAGACUACUAGGUGUGGUCAUCCUCAU